UACGAAGGGGGCUAGCGUUGCUCGGAAUUACUGGGCGUAAAGCGCACGUAGGCGGCUUUCUAAGUCGGGGGUGAAAGCCCGGAGCUCAACUCCGGAACUGCCAUUGAAACUGUGAAACUUGAGGAUGAGAGAGGUGAGUGGAAUUCCCAGUGUAGAGGUGAAAUUCGUAGAUAUUGGGAAGAACACCGGUGGCGAAGGCGGCUCACUGGCUCAUUUCUGACGCUCAGGCGCGACAGCGUGGGGAUCAAACAGG
rnacentral:rRNA from 1 species